rnacentral:piRNA from 1 species
GGUGAGAGGCUCUGGGCUGCGGC